UGCAAGUCGAACGAACCUUCGGGUUAGUGGCGGACGGGUGAGUAACGCGUGAGAAUCUGCCCUCAGGAGGGGGAUAACAGUUGGAAACGACUGCUAAUACCCCAUAUGCCGAGAGGUGAAACGAAUUUCGCCUGGGGAUGAGCUCGCGUCUGAUUAGCUUGUUGGUGGGGUAAUGGCCUACCAAGGCUUUGAUCAGUAGCUGGUCUGAGAGGACGAUCAGCCACACUGGGACUGAGACACGGCCCAGACUCCUACGGGAGGCAGCAGUGGGGAAUUUUCCGCAAUGGGCGAAAGCCUGACGGAGCAACGCCGCGUGAGGGAUGAAGGCCUUUGGGCUGUAAACCUCUUUUCUCAAGGAAAAAGAUCUGACGGUACUUGAGGAAUAAGCCACGGCUAAUUCCGUGCCAGCAGCCGCGGUAAUACGGGAGUGGCAAGCGUUAUCCGGAAUUAUUGGGCGUAAAGCGUCCGCAGGCGGCCGUUUGAGUCUGUUGUUAAAUUGUGGAGCUCAACUCCAUCACGGCAAUGGAAACUGUUCGGCUUGAGUAUGGUAGGGGCAGAGGGAAUUUCCGGUGUAGCGGUGAUAUGCGUAGAUAUCGGGAAGAACACCUGUGGCGAAAGCGCUCUGCUGGGCCAUUACUGACGCUCAUGGACGAAAGCCAGGGGAGCGAAAUGGAUUAGAUACCCAUGUAGUCCCGGCCGUAAACGAUGAACACUAGAUGUUGGGGGAAUCGACCCCCUCAGUGUCGUAGCUAACGCGUUAAGUGUUCCGCCUGGGGAGUACGCACGCAAGUGUGAAACUCAAAGGAAUUGACGGGG
rnacentral:rRNA from 1 species